rnacentral:rRNA from 1 species
UAGGGAAUCUUCCACAAUGGACGAAAGUCUGAUGGAGCAAUGCCGCGUGAGUGAAGAAGGUUUUCGGAUCGUAAAACUCUGUUGUAAGGGAAGAACAAGUACAGUAGUAACUGGCUGUACCUUGACGGUACCUUAUUAGAAAGCCACGGCUAACUACGUGCCAGCAGCCGCGGUAAUACGUAGGUGGCAAGCGUUGUCCGGAAUUAUUGGGCGUAAAGCGCGCGCAGGUGGUUUCUUAAGUCUGAUGUGAAAGCCCACGGCUCAACCGUGGAGGGUCAUUGGAAACUGGGGAACUUGAGUGCAGAAGAGGAAAGUGGAAUUCCAAGUGUAGCGGUGAAAUGCGUAGAGAUUUGGAGGAACACCAGUGGCGAAGGCGACUUUCUGGUCUGUAACUGACACUGAGGCGCGAAAGCGUGGGGAGCAAACA